rnacentral:misc_RNA from 1 species
CCAUUUCCUUGCCAGUUUGAUAAGUUUCUUGGCACUGAUCAUCUUGUCAAUUUUGCUUUUAAGAUGGUAGAAAAAGGAAGGCUCUAUUCUUAGAACACUCAGUUCUAGUUUUUGAUAUGCAGGAGGUAAUGAAAUGAGUUGAUUAUAUAUGUACAAAGCCAGAGGCUGUUCCUUAAAUGAAGGCUCCUAAAGCAAUGUAACAUGGGAAGCUAAACCAUGUGAUGAGCAGAUGUUAAAGGGGCAGGCAUGUUUGUUUUUGUUUGGCAAUCUACACACCAAGGUGGAGCAUAGAAGGUGAAUCACACAAGACAUAUCAUCUUCUGCAGAGUGAUCUAACAACAAAUGGGUCCCAAAUACCAACAAACCCUAAGAACCACAGAAACUCAUUACAAAUUACUGUCAAUACCAUUAUCUACUUAAUGGUUUUUGCAAGUUGGCAGAGUGUUGCUUGCUUGAUUUCUGUACAUAAAUAUCGCAGAACCGUGUGUUAGACCUAACAUGUCGAAGAACUGCCUGACAAGAGGCAGGAAGAGGUGGCUCCCAGGUUCCUACUUGGAUAAGAUUGGAGUUCUUAAGAAAUAAUAGAAAACCUUAUCCAAAAAAUUGCUGUAUAAUGUUAUCACAUUUUUAUAGAGAGUUUAUCAUUAUUAUUGUGUUUAAUUUCUAAUGCUAAUGGCCUAGACUAUUC